AACGAACGCUGGCGGCAGGCCUAACACAUGCAAGUCGAGCGAGGACUUCGGUUCUAGCGGCGGACGGGUGAGUAACGCGUGGGAAUGUGCCCUUCUCUACGGAAUAGCCCUGGGAAACUGGGAGUAAUACCGUAUACGCCCUAUUGGGGAAAGAUUUAUCGGAGAAGGAUCAGCCCGCGUUGGAUUAGGUAGUUGGUGGGGUAAUGGCCUACCAAGCCGACGAUCCAUAGCUGGUUUGAGAGGAUGAUCAGCCACACUGGGACUGAGACACGGCCCAGACUCCUACGGGAGGCGGCAGUGGGGAAUCUUAGACAAUGGGGGCAACCCUGAUCGAGCCAUGCCGCGUGAGUGAUGAAGGCCUUAGGGUUGUAAAGCUCUUUCAGCUGGGAAGAUAAUGACGGUACCAGCAGAAGAAGCCCCGGCUAACUCCGUG
rnacentral:rRNA from 1 species